CCUACGUGCGACAGCAGUGAGGAAUAUUGGUCAAUGGGCGAGAGCCUGAACCAGCCACGUAGCGUGAAGGAUGAAUGCCCUACGGGUUGUAAACUUCUUUUAUAAAGGAAUAAAGUGAGGCACGUGUGCCUUUUUGUAUGUAUUUUAUGAAUAAGGAUCGGCUAACUCCGUGCCAGCAGCCGCGGUAAUACGGAGGAUCCGAGCGUUAUCCGGAUUUAUUGGGUUUAAAGGGAGCGUAGAUGGGUUGUUAAGUCAGUUGUGAAAGUUUGCGGCUAAACCGUAAAAUUGAAAUUGAUACUGGGCGGCUUGAGUACAGUUGAGGUAGGCGGAAUUCCUGGUGUAGCGGUGAAAUGCGUAGAUAUCACGAAGAACUCCGAUGGCGAAGGCAGCCUACUAAACUGCCACUGACAUUGAUGCUCGAAAGUGUGGGUAUCAAACAGGAUUAGAUACCCGAGUAGUC
rnacentral:rRNA from 1 species